rnacentral:rRNA from 1 species
AGAGUUUGAUCAUGGCUCAGGAUGAACGCUAGCGGCAGGCCUAAUACAUGCAAGUCGAACGGUGUCUUCGGACAUAGUGGCGCACGGGUGCGUAACACGUAUGCAACCUACCUUACAUUGGGGGAUAGCCUUUCGAAAGGGAGAUUAAUACCGCAUAAGACAGUAGCUGGGCAUCCAGCAGCUGUUAAAGAUUUAUCGAUGUAAGCUGGGCAUGCGUCCAAUUAGCUAGUUGGUGAGGUAACGGCUCACCAAGGCAAUGAUUGGUAGGGGAACUGAGAGGUCAAUCCCCCACACUGGCACUGAGAUACGGGCCAGACUCCUACGGGAGGCAGCAGUGGGGAAUUUUGGACAAUGGACGCAAGUCUGAUCCAGCCAUUCCGCGUGCAGGACGAAGGCCUUCGGGUUGUAAACUGCUUUUGUACAGAACGAAAAGGUUUCUAUUAAUACUAGGAGCUCAUGACGGUACUGUAAGAAUAAGCACCGGCUAACUUCUUACCGGCAGCCGCGGUAAU